rnacentral:rRNA from 1 species
GACGAACGCUGGCGGCGUGCUUAACACAUGCAAGUCGAACGGAAAGGCCUCUUUCGGGGGGUACUCGAGUGGCGAACGGGUGAGUAACACGUGAGUAACCUGCCCUUGACUUUGGGAUAACUUCAGGAAACUGGGGCUAAUACCGGAUAGGAGCUCCUGCUGCAUGGUGGGGGUUGGAAAGUUUCGGCGGUUGGGGAUGGACUCGCGGCUUAUCAGCUUGUUGGUGGGGUAGUGGCUUACCAAGGUUUUGACGGGUAGCCGGCCUGAGAGGGUGACCGGCCACAUUGGGACUGAGAUACGGCCCAGACUCCUACGGGAGGCAGCAGUGGGGAAUAUUGCACAAUGGGUGGAAGCCUGAUGCAGCAACGCCGUGUGCGGGAUGACGGCCUUCGGGUUGUAAACCGCUUUCGCUCAUGACGAAGCUUUGUGUGACGGUAGUGGGUAAAGAAGCACCGGCUAACUACGUG